rnacentral:rRNA from 1 species
AGGACGAACGCUGGCGGCGUGCCUAACACAUGCAAGUCGAACGAGUCCAGACUUCGGUCUGAGGCGAGUGGCGGACGGGUGAGUAACACGUGAACAACCUAUCUCUGUGCGGGGGACAACCCGGGGAAACUCGGGCUAAUACCGCAUGGUCGGGC